CUACGGGGGGCACCAGGCGCGAAAACUUUACAAUGCAGGAAACUGUGAUAAGGGGACCCCGAGUGCUCGUACACGCGAGCUGUCCAGGUGUGUAAAAAGCAUCUGAAGAAAGGGCCGGGCAAGACCGGUGCCAGCCGCCGCGGUAAUACCGGCGGCUCGAGUGGUGACCACUAUUAUUGGGCUUAAAGCGUUCGUAGCUGGACUCUUAAGUCUCUUGGGAAAUCCGCCGGCUCAACCGGCGGGCGUCCAAGAGAUACUGGGAGUCUAGGAACCGGAAGAGGUAAGAGGUACUUCGGGGGUAGGAGUGAAAUCCUGUAAUCCUCGAGGGACCACCUAUGGCGAAGGCAUCUUACCAGGACGGCUUCGACAGUGAGGAACGAAAGCUGGGGGAGCGAACCGGAUUAGAUACCCGGGUAGUC
rnacentral:rRNA from 1 species